rnacentral:rRNA from 1 species
UACGUAGGGUGCGAGCGUUAAUCGGAAUUACUGGGCGUAAAGCGUGCGCAGGCGGUUCGUUAUGUCCGAUGUGAAGGCCCCGAGCUCAACUUGGGAAUGGCAUUGGAAACUGGCGGGCUGGAGUGUGGCAGAGGGGGUGGAAUUCCACGUGUAGCAGUGAAAUGCGUAGAGAUGUGGAGGAACACCGAUGGCGAGGCAGCCCCCUGGGCCAACACUGACGCUCGAGGCACGAAGCGUGGGGAGCAAACAGG